rnacentral:rRNA from 1 species
UAGGGAAUCUUCCGCAAUGGACGAAAGUCUGACGGAGCAACGCCGCGUGAGCGAUGAAGGCCUUCGGGUCGUAAAGCUCUGUUGUUAGGGAAGAACAAGUACCGGAGUAACUGCCGGUACCUUGACGGUACCUAACCAGAAAGCCACGGCUAACUACGUGCCAGCAGCCGCGGUAAUACGUAGGUGGCAAGCGUUGUCCGGAAUUAUCGGGCGUAAAGCGCGCGCAGGCGGUCCUUUAAGUCUGAUGUGAAAGCCCACGGCUCAACCGUGGAGGGUCAUUGGAAACUGGGGGACUUGAGUGCAGAAGAGGAAAGCGGAAUUCCACGUGUAGCGGUGAAAUGCGUAGAGAUGUGGAGGAACACCAGUGGCGAAGGCGGCUUUCUGGUCUGUAACUGACGCUGAGGCGCGAAAGCGUGGGGAGCAAACA